UGUGACAUCACAGAAGAGGGUGACAUCAUUACAUAUGCCUCACUUAUGGCCAUACAUAGUACAGAAUCAAUUAAGGAUGAAGCCAUCUGGGAUGAAGUUCAUCUAAGGAUGAAGAGGAGAAUGAACAGGUUGAAAGGGAGAAGUACAGCAAAGAAGACUAGGCUAGUGUUAAGUGGGAAACAGUGAUCCUUAACCAAUGUUUGGAGCAGAAUGUAAAACCAGGAACUCCAUGAAUUCCAUCAGUCUUUGGUGGAGAAAAAUUAAGGAGGCAAAUUUUCAGCAGCCAGGGAAGACAGAAGGACUGCUAUGGGUAUUCCAAUUACCUUCAAACCUUCACUACUAAGUCAUUUGAAUUGAAACUGCUAAAUAUAGAGUUUCCUUUGGGUGCAUGUUUCCAAAGUUAAGCAGGAAGGAUUUUUACCCUUAGCUGCAACUUUGACUCUGCCAGCUCACAAAAUAGUGAAGGACGAGACUGUGCACAAGGUACUCCCAGUACAUCCAAAGGCACUGCCUGUGGAGUUCUGCAGUGAAUUGUCUGCCUACAGGGAAACCUUAGGAAAAGCUUUUAACAGAUUCCUGCAAGAAGAAUUAAAUAGUUCUUCAGAGAAGAGAUGGAAAGAGAAAAAAAAAAAUCUUUCCAUACCCAGCACCUGCUCCAGCCUCAUAUAACUGGAUGAUUAUAGCAUUCCUGUCUUAAAUCAUUCUCAAAAGGGGACCAAGUUUAAACUUUACAAACCUCAAACCCUAAUUUAACCAAAUAAAAUACCACUCAACCCCA
rnacentral:lncRNA from 1 species